rnacentral:rRNA from 1 species
AUGGCUGUCGUCAGCUCGUGUCGUGAGAUGUUGGGUUAAGUCCCGUAACGAGCGCAACCCCUUUUGCUAGUUACCAGCGGGUAAUGCCGGGGACUCUAGUGAGACUGCCUGCGCAAGCAGUGAGGAAGGUGGGGACGACGUCAAGUCAUCAUGGCCCUUAUGCCUGGGGCUGCACACGUGCUACAAUGGGCGACACAAUGGGCAGCCACUCCGCAAGGAGGCGCGAAUCCUCAAAGUCGCUCUCAGUUCGGAUUGGAGUCUGAAACUCGACUCCAUGAAGCCGGAAUCGCUAGUAAUCGCGGAUCAGCAAUGCCGCGGUGAAUACGUUCCCGGGCCUUGUACACACCGCCCGU